rnacentral:lncRNA from 1 species
UUUUUCUCUUCCCUCACUCUUUCGUUCCCUAUAUAUAUUCUUAUUUCUUUUUUAUUAUUUACACUAUAAUAAUAAAGCCCUGCCCCGCUUUAAGUGUUUUAACCCUUGAUCACCGAUACCCUGUCCAAGUGACGUAGGGCCCCGUAACGUAUGUCAAGGCUCUGCCUAAAUUCGUUGGGGUUCUGUCUCGUGACGUAGGGAUAAAGUGGAAUUGGGUUAUUAUACUUAAUGUGAGUGCACUAUAUAUUUUAGUAAAUAACCUAGAAGUGAUACCCGAAAUAUAGCAACCCUCCUAAAACACCCCUGACACCCUACACUUUCUAAAAUACACCCCGUAUGUGAAAACCAAGCCCGAAAUACAAUAUAUAAAUUAAAAACAAGAAAUAGUAAGUUGAGGCGGGCCGCGUAGACCCACCCCAACCAUUCACGCGGGCCGUAUGAAGGUGUAACCGGAUUCCUUUGAUUUCUUAAGUUCAAGCGGGCCGCGUAAGGUUCCCUUAACAUUAACGCGGGCCGCGAGAGGUUAAAAAGGUGGCGCAGCCCGGUGCGGCCACGUGGCCCAACACCCGGCUAAGCUAGUUGUCGACUCAGCACAGCUACGCGUUGACCCAGCUUUGACGCGGGCCGCGUAAGCUUUGUGCUUAUACUACGCGGGCCGCGAGAGACCCCGAUUCAGGCACUAUAUAAAGGAGGCAUCGGCUAUCCAUUUCAAUUCGUUCAUUCUUCGAUUCUUUCUCUCAAAUUCUGAUAUAAGGCUUUAUUAAGCGGGUAUUAUACCCCCCUAAUUAGCGAAGCUCUGCCUCGUUGUAAGUAUCAUAACCCCUGGAUACGUAUUAGAUACUCUACCCGAUUGAUCUAGGAUUCCGUAACGGCUGUCGUGGUUCUGCCCGACGUAGUCGUUGGAAUAGCGUCUCGGGGAGGGUAUUACUAAUGUUAAAAUGGGUUAUUAUACUAACACGUGUGCAUUGUUUAUUUAAUUAUAUUAUAACCAGGGAAUCACAAAGAAAAGCCCUAUAAUAGCAAUGUGAGUAAUCCUCUUUUUGUUAAAUGUUUUUACAAAACCUUACAUACUUUUCCAUGCGAAUAACAGUUAUUGAGUAUUUGUAACUUAGUGUGAAGCCAAUUGAAGCCAGCUGGAGAGCACUGAAGGCUUGGAAAAGUGGCAAUAAAGUUACCUAAAAUAACAUAGAUCUUUUUAUUAAAUAAAAUAGGAUUUAGUCCUAUGAAAAAGUGUGUACUGCAAACUUGGGGUUUUAUCCCAUGUCUUUAAUAUUAUGAAAAUAUGGUGGUUUUACU